rnacentral:rRNA from 1 species
UACGAAGGGGGCUAGCGUUGCUCGGAAUUAUUGGGCGUAAAGAGCUCGUAGGCGGUGUGUCGCGUCGGCCGUGAAAACCUGCAGCUUAACUGUGGGCUUGCGGUCGAUACGGGCAUCACUGGAGUUCGGCAGGGGAGACUGGAAUUCCUGGUGUAGCGGUGAAAUGCGCAGAUAUCAGGAGGAACAGCCGGUGGCGAAGGCGGUUCUCUGGGCAUGUUCUGACGCUGAGGAGCGAAAGUGUGGGGAGCGAACAGG